UGGACCUCGUGUUAAGGUGCAUCUAGUGCAGUUAGUGAAUUAGUUUAGAAUCUACUGCGCUAGAUGCUCCUUCUGGCAGGAGGUGCC
ensembl:miRNA mir18c microRNA 18c